rnacentral:misc_RNA from 1 species
UUUCCGUAGGUGAACCUGCGGAAGGAUCAUUAUUGAAUAAACUUGGUUGGGUUGUUGCUGGCUCUUCGGAGCAUGUGCACGCCUAGCGCCAUUUUUACCACCUGUGCACUUCUUGUAGAUUUGAAACACCUCUCGAGGAAACUCGGUUUGAGGAUUGCUGCGCGCAAACCAGCUUUCCUUGCGUUUCAGGUCUAUGUUUUUAUAUACCCCAUAAGAAUGUUUUAGAAUGUCAUUAAUGGGCUUUAUUGCCUUUAAAUUAAUACAACUUUCAACAACGGAUCUCUUGGCUCUC